UUUGACCUCGGAUCAGGUAGG
rnacentral:rRNA from 9 species